GAUAAACGCUGGCGGUAUGCUUAACACAUGCAAGUCGAACGGACUCUUCGGAGUUAGUGGCGGACGGGUGAGUAAUGCGUGAGAAUCUGGCUUUGGGUUCGGGACAACCACUGGAAACGGUGGCUAAUACCGGAUGUGCCGAGAGGUAAAAGAGAAAUUGCCUGAAGAUGAGCUCGCGUCUGAUUAGCUAGUUGGUGAGGUAAAGGCUCACCAAGGCAGCGAUCAGUAGCUGGUCUGAGAGGAUGACCAGCCACACUGGGACUGAGACACGGCCCAGACUCCUACGGGAGGCAGCAGUGGGGAAUUUUCCGCAAUGGGCGAAAGCCUGACGGAGCAAUACCGCGUGAGGGAAGAAGGCUCUUGGGUUGUAAACCUCUUUUCUUAGGGAAGAACAAAAUGACGGUACCUAAGGAAUCAGCAUCGGCUAACUCCGUG
rnacentral:rRNA from 1 species